rnacentral:ncRNA from 1 species
ACUUUAGGGGUGUUCUAAAUUUUAGAACUGAGAAAAACCCUUUGAACCUGAUCUGGUUAGUACCAGCGAAGGGAAAAGUCGAA